UGCACUGACACACGAAGAAAUUCACCAUGGAAUUCACUCACGCGUCUUCCGUAAUCUCUAGCAAGAGCAUCAAUCUAGCAGACUUUAUUAAAAUAUGAACCCUGCACAUCCAGCGGCAAGUAAAGAAGGGGAAGGAGUGAGCCACAAAACAAGAAAGGAUGUCAUACACACUUUUCAAGUCAACUUCUUCGCUAUGAGUCUUUUAAAUACAUUUCCAUGGGAUUCUUUAGACAGAGAAAUUAUGACUACGACUUCAGACAUCAUAGAGGAGAUUCUUCAGAAGACGUGUUUACAUCCCAUUUGCCUCAAGAACCCCCCCUCUAUGAAAUACAGAAGACGCUUUCUAACCGAAUUGAUAAAAAGGCAUGAGAUGGUGGCUGCUGAACCUCUGGAUGUACUGUAUGAAGCCCUCGGAGAGCUCAUGUGUGCACAGGAGGAGGACGUGUGCUACAAAACCUACUUACUGCCAACAGGAGAUGCAGUUAGUCUAGCAGAGAACGUGGCUCUCAUUUCCCAAGGAACCACAGGUCUGGUCACCUGGGAGGCAGCCCUGUAUCUGUCAGAAUGGGCUUUGGAGAAUACACACAUCUUCAAAAACAAGACAGUGCUGGAGCUGGGCAGCGGAAUAGGACUUACUGGCAUCGUAGUGUGUCGGUCAUCCAGCCUAACCAAAUACAUCUUCAGCGACUGCCAUCAAGCCGUCCUUCGGACGCUGAAGGGCAAUAUCGCUAACUGCUUAACUAACUGUGAUAGCGGCAGCGCGUCGGUGUGCGUGGAGGACCUGGACUGGGAAAAUGUGUCUGACGAGCAGCUGCAAAGAAUACAGGCCGACACCAUCGUUGCCGCAGGUGACACAAAACCCAGGGAUAUUUCAGGAACACGCGCGCGUUACAGCGUCAUGUGGUGUAUGAUCCUGAUGUAAUUGCUUGUUUGGUGAGUCUGCUGAGCAGGAUUCUGAACGGCAGAGCUCAAGAAAAACAUCCUGUUGUUUACAUUGCAUCCACUGUACGCAACCCACAGACGUACGACUGCUUCAAGAAAGAAUUGGAAAUAGCUGGACUGAGACACGUCGUCGUUAAAGAUACUGUCCCUCAAGUGUUUCCAUACAACCGAGCCUCCGCUAUAGAAAUGAUCAAAAUAUAUGUAUGACAAAAACAUCUCUUUGUAAUAAAGUAUUUAUUUACAUAAUA